GACGAACGCUGGCGGCGUGCCUAAUACAUGCAAGUCGAACGCACAGUUUAUACCGUAGCUUGCUACACCAUAGACUGUGAGUUGCGAACGGGUGAGUAACGCGUAGGUAGCCUGCCUGGUAGCGGGGGGUAACUAUUGGAAACGAUAGCUAAUACCGCAUAAUAUUGAUUAUUGCAUGAUAAUUGAUUGAAAGAUGCUAUUGCAUCACUACCAGAUGGACCUGCGUUGUAUUAGCUAGUAGGUGAGGUAACGGCUCACCUAGGCGACGAUACAUAGCCGACCUGAGAGGGUGAUCGGCCACACUGGGACUGAGACACGGCCCAGACUCCUACGGGAGGCAGCAGUAGGGAAUCUUCGGCAAUGGACGAAAGUCUGACCGAGCAACGCCGCGUGAGUGAAGAAGGUUUUCGGAUCGUAAAGCUCUGUUGUAAGAGAAGAACGGGUGUGAGAGUGGAAAGUUCACACUGUGACGGUAUCUUACCAGAAAGGGACGGCUAACCACGUG
rnacentral:rRNA from 1 species